rnacentral:rRNA from 1 species
CCUACGGGAGGCAGCAGUGGGGAAUAUUGCGCAAUGGGCGAAAGCCUGACGCAGCGACGCCGCGUGAGGGAUGAAGGUCUUCGGAUCGUAAACCUCUGUCGGCAGGGAAGAACGGUCACUGUGCUAAUCAGCAGUGAAUUGACAGUACCUGCAAAGGAAGCACCGGCUAACUCCGUGCCAGCAGCCGCGGUAAUACGUAGGGUGCGAGCGUUAAUCGGAAUUACUGGGCGUAAAGCGCUCGUAGGCGGUAUGUCAAGUCAAGGGUGAAAGCCCCGGGCUCAACGUGGGAACUGCAUUUGAAACUGGCAAACUGGAGUGUGUGAGAGGAGAGUGGAAUUCCAGGUGUAGGAGUGAAAUCCGUAGAUAUAUGGAGGAACAUCAGUGGCGAAGGCGACUAUCUGGCACAUAACUGACGCUGAGGAGCGAAAGCGUGGGUAGCAAACAGGAUUAGAUACCCUGGUAGUC